rnacentral:rRNA from 1 species
AAUGAACGCUGGCGGCAUGCCUAACACAUGCAAGUCGAACGAAGGCUUCUGCCUUAGUGGCGCACGGGUGCGUAACGCGUGGGAAUCUGCCCUUGGGUUCGGAAUAACAGUUAGAAAUGACUGCUAAUACCGGAUGAUGUCGUAAGACCAAAGAUUUAUCGCCCAAGGAUGAGCCCGCGUAGGAUUAGAUAGUUGGUGGGGUAAAGGCCUACCACGGCGACGAUCCUUAGCUGGUCUGAGAGGAUGAUCAGCCACACUGGGACUGAGACACGGCCCAGACUCCUACGGGAGGCAGCAGUGGGGAAUAUUGGACAAGGGGAGAAAGCCUGAUCCAGCAAUGGCGCGGGAGUGAUGAAGGCCUUAGGGUUGUAAAGCUCUUUUAGCCGGGAUGAUAAUGACAGUACCGGGAGAAUAAGCUCCGGCUAACUUCGUG